rnacentral:lncRNA from 1 species
AGGACACUAAAUAUGGUAAGUUCUACAGAAGGAUAAGUGCAUGGUUGUUAAGGGAAAUGCCUUCAUCUUUAAGUCACAAAAAAUAAGCAAAUGAACCAAAUUGAAACACAAUUCUGCAAUAGUAUACUUAAUAUUGAUGUAAAUUAUAUAAGCAUAAACACUGCGAAGAAGAUAUUCCAAUGAUAUCCACUUAUCUAGGCGAUGCCUUUCAAGAAUUGUUCCAAACUUUCUCCUAAAGCUUCUUUAACCUUUUUUUUAACUAAAUGGCUGUUAUGCUUUUUUUAAUAGAAUAAUAUGUUUUCAUGUAUCAAUGGAUGUUACCACUGAAGCAAGAAUCUAACACAUAAUUUAACAACUAAUAUAGAGUCACGUCUAAUUUAUGCAUGCAUCUAUUGGUGCAUGUGCUUCUUCAUCAUUAGUUACUUGUAAAGAAUCAGAGUUGAUUAUCCUAGUGGUAUUUUUUAAAUUUAUAUCAAAUUGCCACUUUGAUAAAAGAUAACAUGGGAAAAGGGAUGGGCUUGUGAUGUGCUAGCAUGGUUGAUGCCCUAAAAC